UACGUAGGGUGCGAGCGUUGUCCGGAAUUAUUGGGCGUAAAGGGCUCGUAGGCGGUUUGUCGCGUCGGGAGUGAAAACUCAGGGCUCAACCCUGAGCGUGCUUCCGAUACGGGCAGACUAGAGGUAUGCAGGGGAGAACGGAAUUCCUGGUGUAGCGGUGGAAUGCGCAGAUAUCAGGAGGAACACCGGUGGCGAAGGCGGGUCUCUGGGCCGAUACUGACGCUGAGGAGCGAAAGCGUGGGGAGCGAACAGG
rnacentral:rRNA from 1 species